rnacentral:rRNA from 1 species
ACACAUGCAAGUCGAACGAGAAUCUGCUGAAGGAGGAUUCGUCCAACGGAUGUAGAGGAAAGUGGCGGACGGGUGAGUAACGCGUGAGGAACCUGCCUUGAAGAGGGGGACAACAGUUGGAAACGACUGCUAAUACCGCAUGAAGCAUAGGGGUCGCAUGAUCCUUAUGCCAAAGAUUUAUCGCUUCAAGAUGGCCUCGCGUCUGAUUAGCUGGUUGGCGGGGUAACGGCCCACCAAGGCGACGAUCAGUAGCCGGACUGAGAGGUUGAACGGCCACAUUGGGACUGAGAUACGGCCCAGACUCCUACGGGAGGCAGCAGUGGGGAAUAUUGGGCAAUGGGCGCAAGCCUGACCCAGCAACGCCGCGUGAAGGAAGAAGGCUUUCGGGUUGUAAACUUCUUUUAAGAGGGAAGAGCAGAAGACGGUACCUCUAGAAUAAGCCACGGCUAACUACGUGCCAGCAGCCGCGGUAAUACGUAGGUGGCAAGCGUUGUCCGGAUUUACUGGGUGUAAAGGGCGUGCAGCCGGGUCUGCAAGUCAGAUGUGAAAUCCAUGGGCUCAACCCAUGAACUGCAUUUGAAACUGUAGAUCUUGAGUGUCGGAGGGGCAAUCGGAAUUCCUAGUGUAGCGGUGAAAUGCGUAGAUAUUAGGAGGAACACCAGUGGCGAAGGCGGAUUGCUGGACGAUAACUGACGGUGAGGCGCGAAAGUGUGGGGAGCAAACAGGAUUAGAUACCCUGGUAGUCCACACUGUAAACGAUGAAUACUAGGUGUGCGG